AUGUCGAAGAAAAUUGUGGUGAAGCUGGAGGUGAACAGCGGCAAGGAUAAGCAGAAGGCCAUGAAGGCCGUCUCGGCGCUCGUCGGCAUAGACGCGCUGUCCGUGGACAUGGCCACCCGCAAGAUGACGGUGGUCGGCAUGGUGGACCCGGUGGACGUGGUGAGCAAGCUGCGCAAGGGGUGGUCGGCGUCCAUCGACUCGGUCGGCCCGGCCAAGGAGCCCGAGAAGGAGGGCGAGAAGAAGGACGGCGCCGACGCCAAGAAGGAAGGGGAGGGGGAGAAGAAGGACGGCGACGGCAAGGACGGGGCCAAGAAGGGCGACGGCGAGGCGAAGCCGCCGCAGCCGACGGAGGAGCAGCUCAUGGCCGAGUUCAUGAACCAGUACAGGUCGGCUUAUUCGGCCUACCACAACCCCUACAUGAACAGCCACUACGUGGUGCAGAGCAUGGAGGAGAACCCCAACUCCUGCACCAUCUGCUAA
rnacentral:rRNA from 1 species